UUGCAGGUUUUUAAUGCAAAAACAGCAGAGCUCUUGAGUCAUCAUCAAGUUGAGAUACAGCAGAAAUUCCCUAAAGAAGGAUGGGUGGAACAAGAUCCAAAGGAAAUACUAAAGUCUGUCCAUGAAUGUGUGGAAAGGACCUGUGAGAAACUGCAACAACUGAACAUAGACAUCACUAACAUAAAAGCCAUUGGAGUCAGCAAUCAGAGAGAAACAACAGUGGUUUGGGACAAGACAACUGGAGAACCUCUUUAUAAUGCUAUUGUGUGGCUCGACCUGAGAACCCAGUCAACAGUUGAACGGCUUCUUAAAAGAAUUCCAGGAAGAAACAAAGCGUUUUUUAAGUUUAGGACUGGUCUUCCACUUAGCACUUAUUUUAGUGCAGUGAAGCUUCGAUGGCUUCUGGAUAAUGUGGAAGAGAUUAGGCAAGCAGUUGAUGAUGGAAGAGCUAUGUUUGGGACUAUUGAUUCAUGGCUUAUAUG